AGUGAACGCUGGCGGUAGGCCUAACACAUGCAAGUCGAACGGCAGCACAGUAAGAGCUUGCUCUUACGGGUGGCGAGUGGCGGACGGGUGAGGAAUACAUCGGAAUCUACUUUUUCGUGGGGGAUAACGUAGGGAAACUUACGCUAAUACCGCAUACGACCUACGGGUGAAAGCAGGGGAUCUUCGGACCUUGCGCGAUUGAAUGAGCCGAUGUCGGAUUAGCUAGUUGGCGGGGUAAAGGCCCACCAAGGCGACGAUCCGUAGCUGGUCUGAGAGGAUGAUCAGCCACACUGGAGCUGAGACACGGUCCAGACUCCUACGGGAGGCAGCAGUGUGGAAUAUUGGACAAUGGGCGCAAGCCUGAUCCAGCCAUACCGCGUGGGUGAAGAAGGCCUUCGGGUUGUAGAGCCCUUUUGUUGGGAAAGAAAAGCAGCAGGUUAAUACCCCGCUGUUCUGACGGUACCCAAAGAAUAAGCACCGGCUAACUUCGUG
rnacentral:rRNA from 1 species